ACUUAUAUUCUCAGCCUCCCACUUCACCUGUUACACAGCUAGCUCUGUGAUAGAGGACCUGGGUCCAUUUUGCCCUCUACUAAGAAAAAUGUACACUAGCUACUUCAAGUGUUAGAGCGAAUGAGCGACUCAACACUCAUAUCUUCUGCAGCCUGUUUGAAGUCUGGUGUGGCUGAAACUGAAGCCAGAAGUUGACAAACUCAGGGAGACAGACAGGCUGUGGAUGAGAGAACAGGAAGAGGGGAGUAGAAGGCCCUCCUCCCAGGUCCUGGUGGGCUCUGUGAUAGCCUGACCAGUAGAAUUAAGUGGAAACAGUAUUGUUCCAGCUUCCGAGUGCAGCCUGAAGGAAUGGACAGCUCCCACUCCUUAUCUCUGCAGAGAGUUGCUGUUGCAAUUUAGGUGCUAAACUGGAGGGCACUCGCCAACCAAGACAAGAAGUUACAGCCCCGGGUGAACUUCCAAUUGACAGCUGGGACAAGACUCCUGCUAUAUAAGUGUGUGAUCC
rnacentral:lncRNA from 1 species